rnacentral:rRNA from 1 species
GAUGAACGCUGGCGGCGUGCCUAAUACAUGCAAGUCGAGCGCGAGCGAUUGGAGCUUGCUCCAAUCAAUCGAGCGGCGGACGGGUGAGUAACACGUAGGCAACCUACCCAUCAGACUGGGAUAACCACGGGAAACCGUGGCUAAUACCGGAUGACCCUUUGAGACACAAGUCUUAAAGUUGAAAGGCGCUUUUGGUGCCGUUGAUGGAUGGGCCUGCGGCGCAUUAGCUGGUUGGUGGGGUAACGGCCCACCAAGGCGACGAUGCGUAGCCGACCUGAGAGGGUGAUCGGCCACACUGGGACUGAGACACGGCCCAGACUCCUACGGGAGGCAGCAGUAGGGAAUCUUCCGCAAUGGACGCAAGUCUGACGGAGCAACGCCGCGUGAGUGAAGAAGGGUUUCGGCUCGUAAAACUCUGUUGUUAAGGAAGAAUGACACAUGGUGUAACUGCCAUGUGUGUGACGGUACUUAACCAGAAAGCCACGGCUAACUACGUGCCAGCAGCCGCUGUAA